UUUUACGUAUAUUGUCACAGUAUUAUAUAUCAUAGUGAUAAACAGGAAACAACGUGAAUGUCCCGAAACAGGAGAAAGUGAUAAAUUGUGGUAUAUUUAGAAGAUAGAGUGUUAGUUAUGCAGACAUCAGAAAUAAUUUUUUAAAAGAUUAGAAACAUAGAGGCGUGGUAAAGCAUUAAGUAAAAAGUAGGAUAGAGGAACAUAUCAUUGUAAAAACAAUAUUUUCAAAGAAGAUUUGAUGACAGGGUCCUGAUAAAAUGUGAAGUUCAAAGACAAGAUGGGGAACUGUAUAAUUCAGAGCCGCGUCAUUCUUUCUCCACAUCUGGAUGAUGGAAACACCGCAUGACUAUCACCUCACCUGAGCCCACGGCAACCUUAUGAGGCUGAUACUGUGAUUCUCAUUUUACAGGUUGGCAGACUUCGAGAAACUUGACAAAUCCAGUUGAUGGGGAUAUGGAGCACCAGCACUUUCAUCUGUCAUGGAUGAGAAUGGGUGCACCUGCUAUGGAGAAUGACUUGUCAGUUUCCUGGUGACAUUAAAGAGACUCAUUCCCUCCCGCACAGAGUUUCCUUCCUAGAGAUGUGUGUACAAGGAUAUAUACAAGACUAUUUGAUCCAAUAUUGUUCCUGAUACUGAAACAUUUUAAAUGACUCAGAUGCUCAUCUGAAGGGCUGUGGAUAAAUAAACAUGGUAUAUUUAGAUACCGCAA